rnacentral:lncRNA from 1 species
UAUAAUCAACAAGAGUUACAAAAGUGUUCUCCAAAAUGGCCACCAACAAAGUGCCAAACAAUGAGCAACACAACUACAAGAUAACACCAAAAAUUAGAGAAAUAAAGCAAAAACACCAAAUCCGCAACUACUGUUCACGAGCUAAAAUCUGGAGCUACAUGACUCCAAAUCACCCUCUCUCAGUUCCCAAUCAAAUAUUAAGUUGAAAGGAACAAGC